UCCUGACUGACCGAUAGUGAACCAGUACCGUGAGGGAAAGGCGAAAAGAACCCCGGCGAGGGGAGUGAAAAAGAACCUGAAACCGUGUACGUACAAGCAGUGGGAGCACGCUUAGGCGUGUGACUGCGUACCUUUUGUAUAAUGGGUCAGCGACUUAUAUUCUGUAGCAAGGUUAACCGAAUAGGGGAGCCGAAGGGAAACCGAGUCUUAACUGGGCGUUAAGUUGCAGGGUAUAGACCCGAAACCCGGUGAUCUAGCCAUGGGCAGGUUGAAGGUUGGGUAACACUAACUGGAGGACCGAACCGACUAAUGUUGAAAAAUUAGCGGAUGACUUGUGGCUGGGGGUGAAAGGCCAAUCAAACCGGGAGAUAGCUGGUUCUCCCCGAAAGCUAUUUAGGUAGCGCCUCGUGAAUUCAUCUCCGGGGGUAGAGCACUGUUUCGGCAAGGGGGUCAUCCCGACUUACCAACCCGAUGCAAACUGCGAAUACCGGAGAAUGUUAUCACGGGAGACACACGGCGGGUGCUAACGUCCGUCGUGAAGAGGGAAACAACCCAGACCGCCAGCUAAGGUCCCAAAGUCAUGGUUAAGUGGGAAACGAUGUGGGAAGGCCCAGACAGCCAGGAUGUUGGCUUAGAAGCAGCCAUCAUUUAAAGAAAGCGUAAUAGCUCACUGGUCGAGUCGGCCUGCGCGGAAGAUGUAACGGGGCUAAACCAUGCACCGAAGCUGCGGCAGCGAUGCUUAUGCGUUGUUGGGUAGGGGAGCGUUCUGUAAGCCUGCGAAGGUGUGCUGUGAGGCAUGCUGGAGGUAUCAGAAGUGCGAAUGCUGACAUAAGUAACGAUAAAGCGGGUGAAAAGCCCGCUCGCCGGAAGACCAAGGGUUCCUGUCCAACGUUAAUCGGGGCAGGGUGAGUCGACCCCUAAGGCGAGGCCGAAAGGCGUAGUCGAUGGGAAACAGGUUAAUAUUCCUGUACUUGGUGUUACUGCGAAGGGGGGACGGAGAAGGCUAUGUUGGCCGGGCGACGGUUGUCCCGGUUUAAGCGUGUAGGCUGGUUUUCCAGGCAAAUCCGGAAAAUCAAGGCUGAGGCGUGAUGACGAGGCACUACGGUGCUGAAGCAACAAAUGCCCUGCUUCCAGGAAAAGCCUCUAAGCAUCAGGUAACAUCAAAUCGUACCCCAAACCGACACAGGUGGUCAGGUAGAGAAUACCAAGGCGCUUGAGAGAACUCGGGUGAAGGAACUAGGCAAAAUGGUGCCGUAACUUCGGGAGAAGGCACGCUGAUAUGUAGGUGAAGUCCCUUGCGGAUGGAGCUGAAAUCAGUCGAAGAUACCAGCUGGCUGCAACUGUUUAUUAAAAACACAGCACUGUGCAAACACGAAAGUGGACGUAUACGGUGUGACGCCUGCCCGGUGCCGGAAGGUUAAUUGAUGGGGUCAGCGCAAGCGAAGCUCUUGAUCGAAGCCCCGGUAAACGGCGGCCGUAACUAUAACGGUCCUAAGGUAGCGAAAUUCCUUGUCGGGUAAGUUCCGACCUGCACGAAUGGCGUAAUGAUGGCCAGGCUGUCUCCACCCGAGACUCAGUGAAAUUGAACUCGCUGUGAAGAUGCAGUGUACCCGCGGCAAGACGGAAAGACCCCGUGAACCUUUACUAUAGCUUGACACUGAACAUUGAGCCUUGAUGUGUAGGAUAGGUGGGAGGCUUUGAAGUGUGGACGCCAGUCUGCAUGGAGCCGGCCUUGAAAU
rnacentral:rRNA from 1 species